UAAAUUUUGGAGGUAACAAUAAUAAUCAAUACUUAUUUUAUAGUUUAGUUGUGCAAGCUGACGAAAUGAUGGCGUUGUGGGUUGAUUGAGCGGCCACAUUUAUUGAUUACAUUGUGUGGGCUAGAGGUAUAUAAAAUAUUUUAAAUAACAGAGUUGAAAGUCUCUAGUUUAAUUUUAGUAAUUGAUUGUUAGCUUAGAUAUGCUAAUAUAUGUUGAUACAUAAAUGGUUAGUCCACAGAUACACUAGUGUAAGCAAUAUGAGAUAUGUUGGUGAUGGUGUCAGCGUUUGGUAACAGCGGUGCACCACGAGAUGUAUCACGAAGUGUUUUUUGUGGUUGGUGAGAUCGAUUGUAGCUUAUGGUUUGCGUCGCAUGGACGUGAUAGGAGAAUUACACAGGUUUAGACGAUCGGGAGGCGUAAAACCCUACAUCCUAUGUAUUGUGGAGAUUGGAUUGUAUUGCACUGAGCCCGAAGUUACAAUGGUGCCUUGCUACUUGCUAGCUCGAGGUUCUGGUAAGGGAUAGCUAUGAGAUGGGAUCCUCCGUUGAAUCGUAGGAGUCCCCAACCUGCUUUAUAUAGACAAACAGAUUUAGCGUUACAAGUAUGUUUUCUUCCUAACUACCAGUCCUGCAAUAUCAGGGGUUUGUUGUUUCUCGCAUGAGCCCUCACGCCUUUUGAAACAACUACCGCUCUGCCUUGAUCUCCAAGCCUUUUCGUCGUCUUUGGGCCCAAGUUAGUCGAUCGGCCCAUGAAAUCAGUCGGUCAGCCCAUAAAAUCAAUCAUCCGACCUAUUUAGGCCCUUUAAUGGCCCAUGUACAGAAUCCACGACUCAGGGGAUAUCUAUCCAUAUCGCCCACAUAUGUGACUUGAAUAAAUUGCAAUAUUCAGCUAGUGUUGAUUAAAGAGCUCAUUGCAUACAAGGCAUAGCAUGAUGCUAUAUGACUGUAGAAAACAUAAGGAAAAUGACUUGGCUACGAAGACUAGUUACUAGUGUGAAUGACAAGUCAAGACUCGAGUGUGAUGGCCCGUAUAGCAGUGAAGCUAGAGUAAGUACUCGACACCAAAACAGGGUUAUAAUCAAUGAACCGAUAAGGCCACGUGAUGAUAUGGAGUGGACUGUGGACCAUAUCCUGUUUUUGGAUGAUGAAAUAAACUUUAUGCCAAGGACAAUGAUCAAAUGUAGCGUGGUGUUAGUGCUCGGAAUAGGCCAUGCCUCUGGAUGUUGCCAAUGUUGAAGUAUACUCAGUAGUAACAAGAUUGAGAGAGAGACAAAUGACAGUUCUAUCUUUAUUGCAGCAGGGGUUAUGUUUAUAUACAUAUGAAGGGGUGAGUUCACAAGGGGUGUGUCCCUUGGGAAUUAUCUGUCGCACCCCUUGGAUUGAUCACAAAUACAAUAAUUUGUAACACUCCCCCUUGAUCAAUCCAAAUCCAUUUGAUCAUCUGCAAGUUGUCUUCCAAUAUAUUAUCUCCUCAAAAACCCUGUGGGAAAAAAUAAGGAGUACACAAUAUCUUUUGGAUUAUGAGUAGAACUCACGCUGACCUCCAAAAGAAAAUAUGCCUGUAAUCAUCAUUCUUAAAAACCCCCGUGGGGAAAAUUAAUGAUGAAGCAUAUAGCUUAGUUGAUAUUACCUCAUUAAAAACUUUGGAUGAGAAAACCUUAACAAGGCAAAACUCAUACAAAGAAAAGAGUGUAAUAUGAUGGAUCAAAACAGGUCAAAUAUCAUGGAGAAUUACUCCCCCUGAUUCUUGCAAGCACUUAAGUCUUCUCAUACCAAUCACCUCAACACAUUUCUGAAACGUUGAGUAUGGUAGAGAUUUUGUGAAUAGAUCAGCAAGAUUAUCACAAGACUUUGUUUGCAAGAUGUUAAUAUUUUCAUUUUCCUGUUUCCAUCUGAACAACACAAGCUCAAUUAUCCUUAUGGAUAAUGGUCAGUGAUUCAAUCGAAUCAUGGUACGUUGUUCUCCAAUGGACCUCUAGCCCAAAGAACAAUAAUAUGUCUAUAGCCAUCAUCUCAAAAACCCCAGUGGGGAAAAUAAAUGAUGAGACAUAUAACUCAGGCUAAUAUUUCUCCAAGAUAAUCUUGCCAGAAAAUCUGAGAAAUCAACAUAUCAGCUGAGUCUCCUUAAAAACCCAGUGGGAAAAAUAAGGAGAGUAGUCAUACUCUAUUGUUGGUCCAUUUGAACUCUAGGGAGAUAAACUCAUAUCCUAGUUCAAAUACAACAAUAACUAUGUCAUAAUGUAUCAUCCUCGAAAACCUCUACGGGAAAAAUAGAUGAUACGACAUAGGCCUUGUGUUGAUGUUGCCUCGUUAAAAACUUUGAAUGAGAAACCCAAAUAGGUGAAAACUCAUGCAAAGAAAAGAGUGCAACAUGAUGUAUAAACAAGUUCUUUCAAUCAAGAGGGAAACUCCCCCUGAUCUUUACAAAACACUAAGUCAUCCCAUACAUACUCACAAACACAUUUAAAAUGUGGAGUAAGUUAGAGACUUAGUUGGUAACUUAUUUUUCAUCUAAACAACACAAAGUAAUAUUAUCUUCAUAGAUAAUAAGGUCACUGAUAUAAAAUCAUGACCACCACAUACCCUCUGUAUGUAGUAUAUCAUUCUGUACAAUCCCAUGAAGUGUACUAUAGAAUGAUUAGUGUAAGUGACCAUUAAUCUCUGUUGAUUAACAUUUAUCAAACAGUAGGUCCAACUUACCAGAAGUAUGUCAUUGAUCUUAUACCUGGGGAUCUUCUAUAGAUAUCCAAGAUCAGUAUAUCCAAACAUAAGGAGAGCAUGAGUACAUCUAGAGAUCAUAACUCGAUCUCAUGUGCUGUUAGCUAGCAAAUCGUUGCAAAGCAAUAUCCGGCCGGAUGCUCUUGCAAGAUACAAUAGCACAUCUCAUGAUCGGAAAGAAUCAAAUAACAAUGAUUCUCUCAUAUUGAAUUUCUUCAAUAUAUGUUGGAUAUAGACAAUUUUGUAUCCAAGAUACUCAAGAUAGUUUACUUUGAAUUGAAAAUCUCUUUCAAUUCAUAUCCUCUAUCUCGAACUCCGUCGAUAAGUAAUGUAUGUUUAAAAUAUGCUGCACAUAUUUACAUUGAACAUACCAUUCUUUGUGUAUCCUUUCAGAAGGAAGGAUUCACUAGGUCGAAUGUACCAUAUUUGACCAGGAUGCUCUAAGUCACAAAGACUUUCCAAGCAUUACAAAUUUGUGAUUGGUGAUUAUGUAUUUGGAAUCCUUCAAGACUCCAUAAAUACCAUAAUCCAGUGACCACAUAUGCAUAUGUUGUCACUACAUCUAUCAACUGCAUAGAUAGAUGAUUUACUGCCCAUAAUAUUGUAUCGGAAUUUUACUACUCACAGUAGAGGAGAAUUUAUAGCAUUAAAAUAAUGCUUGGGUUUGCGUAUAAACCCAGUUGCUACUAGUCAUGCUUUCUCACCACCUCAUUGUUUCCAAGUCCAUGAAAACAAACUUGUAUCCACAGUAAGAUACCAUGAAGUGGAAAAUAAUUCAACACUUCUUUCCGGUGAGCAAGGCUAUCUCUGCAACAUUGUAUCACUCAAACAAGAUCCAGUUUGAGCAUACUCGUGCUCUGCUAUGGCCAUAGUCUUUUGGAUCACUUGGAGCGCAUAUACAAUUUGCUGAGAUGUAUGUGUCGACACUUGUAGCUUUUAAAUAACACAAUUCUCCAGUUGACAUGAAGUCAUUUUCUUAUGUACCCUUAUGAUUUGUCGUGAAAUCCCAAAACGAGAAUCAAGGGCUUCCGAUAACCUAGCCUCAUCAGUGCGCACUGAGCUAGGUUGUGAAUGUCUUCCAUUCACAGGAUAAUCCAUAUCCUCUAGGUGUCUACCAACACUAGGUUGGUUACCAACGAAUAGUUGGUCUGCAUUUACUAUCUCAGAAGGUCUAGCCUUCAGCUGCUUGCAAGCAUCUUAAUCCCAAUUUGUGACCAUACUUCUCCCCCUCUUAUUUACAACAACGUUGCAAUAGGGAGUUAAGUGGUUUUCCAUGUAACCACUCUUUCUGGCACUUCCUCAUAGGAUUAAUUUGAGUGACACCUCAUAGUAAAUGCAUAUGGCAGUUAAUUUGCAACUUCUUGCAAAUCAUUCGAACCCAAAGGUUCAGUUUUAGUACGUGAUCCUGAGCCUGAAUGCUUACUGCAUUCAUUAUAAUUUCCUGGCAUUCAUUUUUGGUACUUGAAAUCUCCCCCUAAUGCCUGGAAAAGCUCAUGAUUCAAGCAAGCGUACGGGCCAUAAAUAGAAUCUUAUGAAGAGAUUCUAAAACUUAAUGAUCGACGGAGAAUGAAUUCUCACAUAGAUCCCCAGUUUUCUGUGUGCCCAUAUAUGUACGCUGCGGUGGUGAGAUUGGGAACAUACCCAAUGUACGCAUGGGAAAUCUUUCACGGAUUCCCACGUACUAAAAACCAUAGGGGAACUUGUACAUGCAGUACAUGCAGUUAAUCACAAGUCAGGAGCGUGCAAAACUUCCUGACUCCAACCAUAACCAGUUGGAAAUGACAAUUCAUUACUGAUGGUCAUUAAUGAUCUGAAAUUUUCGAAUCAAUCACAGAUUCAUCAUAUCCUUUAUGGAUAUCAUUUUGAAUACCAAGACAAACAAUCACCAUUGUAAGCACAUUUGGUAAAUUCAGUAGUGUGGAGGCUAAUGUGCUCAAGCUUGAGACAUUAUUGCUUAAUGGACAUGUGUUGUCCGAAGGACACACUUGAGGUCAUCAUAUAGAUGCACCAAAGAACCAUAUAAAGCCUUCGAUGUCCAUACAAUCUCUGUAAUGGACCACACUCGUUCCUUUGAAACAAUUCAAAGAACUUAACCAAUUCAGAUCAGAUUUUAAGAUAAGAGGGACUUAAAAUCUCAUUUCCGAUGAUACUCAUCAAGUAUCUAUCUUAUGGGAAAAACAUGACCAACAGAAUUGUCCAUAACUUUUCAUUUCAUCCAACAAUGGAAUGACCAAUUCAGUCUUACCCAGCAUGGUAAGUAUCAUCACAUGAAAAGUUUAACAAAUGCAACACAUUGUACGAGAGGAUGUAUGUCGAAUACUAUCCAUAAGAAAUGUUUUCGUGAAACACAUGCAAUAUCCAUCACUAUCACUUUGUGUUUCCACAUGAUAGAAAUUAUAUGGAUAUCUCUAUAAUAUGGUAAGAUAGCAAUUAGGAUAUCUCAACACAUCCUUGAUACUUCCAAUACCAAAAGGGGACUAGAUAUUAACAUAUCAUGAUAUCGCGCGAAGCGAUUGUUAAAAUAUUCUUUCCUCUUUCCAAAGGAAUAUGAGAAUAUUUUGUUUCCCCACUUAUAGAGUUUGUGGCUCAAUUCUCCACAUUGCAUGUUUCUUCCUCAAUUGGAAGAAUCCAUGUACAAGUUUGCACAACUCAAAUCAAUGAGUCUUCAACUCCCUUGAUGAGUUGGUUCAACUCUAAUCGAUGAGUUUGUUCAACUCAAAUCACAUGAGUGAUCAACUCCAAUCGAUGAGUUUGUUUAACUCAGAUUCAUAUGAGUUUUUACACUCAAAUCACAUGAGUGUGUUCAACUCACAUCGCAUGAGUUGAACCUAUCAAUUAUGAGAUUAUACCAAAUCUCAUGCAUCAUUUAAAUAGUACUCAAAAGCAAAAUCAUUUAACAAAGUGGUCUUCUCUUAGAAAAAGAAGUGUUGUUACAUGAUUAGUCCAAAUCAUGAAUUACACAACUAACCACUGUUAUCAUGUCAGAUGGAAGAUUGAAGUACACUUCAUAUCUUAGCUUUCAUGAGUAGUAUGCAUCUAUUGGGAUUUCAUAUACAUGAUUAGAUGCUUAGGCAUACAACACUAUACCACGUAUAGUGUAAUGACAAAAGAGUUUGUCAUACUCAUUGCCCUUCCCUUUUUAAUGUGCUUAUAUAUUUGCUUUCAAGCAAAAUAUAUGAUACAAAGUGUUAGUCUACAGUAUAAUGUAGACACAUACUCAUAAGUCCACAAGACUUAUGAUUUUCUUUGCUAUUCAUUUUGCGCUUGCACAUCAAGCCACAAAAGCACAUAAGUUCUUUUCAUAAGAACCAUAAGAGAAAGAGAGCAUCUCAUUUCCUCCAAAUUGAAGAGGUGAAUUCCCAUAUCAUGCAAAAAUGAUCUUGAUAUCUAAUGAACAUUGAGGAUAAUUAAGGCCAGUAGGCGAGUUCAUCAAACUCUAUUAAAUAAUUAUCAUCCAAAUGGAUUAACCAUUUUCUGAUGUUGUAAUAUGCCGCAAAAUAUAUCAUAUCUUUAUAUGUUGGAGAACUCUAGGUAUCACAUAAAGUGUACCAAAAGAUUUUUGAAAAUUGGUGUACACAACGUAGAUAAUCUCCAUGUAAUGAAACAAUGGAGUAGAUCUCUCAGUAGUGGGCAAAAACUUUUGUUGCCUGAAAGCAUGGUCUCUGGGCUGAUAUAUUCAAGGAACAUACCGCAGCCAAUGCUUAGGACUCCACUACCCUGUGCUUGGCCAAAAUUUCAAAAAUAAAAUGGUAAUCACAAUAAAGGUGAAUUACCAACAUCACAUCUCCAACAUAUCUACUUGGGGAAACACAUAUAGGUAAUCAUCAUCGACAUAUGAUGUAGACCUCUUACUGAUGGGCAAAUAACCUUUUGAUGUCUAAAAGCUUGGUCUCAGGGCAAAUAAAUUCCAAGAAUUUAUUGCAGCCAAAGCUUAGAUCUCCAUCAUGUGUUGAAUAAUCCCAAGUUCAAGAUAUGUGUCAUAUUUUGCAAGAAUCCAUCGUUUAAUUAAGUAGAACUUAAUUAAAAGAAUUCUUUUAGCAGUCACCAUGACUGCAGCGUCCAGCCUGGCUCCAUAGCCCGCGACGCCUGCUUGGUCCGUGAUCUUUUUGGGUUAGCACGUAUAGGUAAUCAUCUCGAAAGAUGUAGACCUCAUAGUGAUAGGCAUUUCAAAUGCGGCCUAAAGCACGGUCUCUGGGCUACUAAAUUCUAUAAAGAAUUUAGCGCAGCCAGUGCUUAGGACUCCAUCCCCCUAUGCUUUUCCCAAAAAAUGCAAUCUUAUGUUGCAUGAGGACCGUUAAGUUUCGACUUAUUAAAGUGCUAUGUUUUUCAUGCAAACAUAAAAGAAUGCAAAAACAUAAGUAAGUCGAAAAUAUGUGAAUUAUAAAUAUAAUUCACUGACAAGUCUGCAUUUUCACAAUAAAAACAGACAAAUAUGUAUAAUUACAUAUAAUAUAGCAGUCUCAUUAUUCAAAUUUAGAUAUUAAAUACUGAUUGAAACUGUGAUACAAAAAAAAUCACAGAGUCAUGUACUUAAAUUUGCAGAAAAUAAAAUAAUAAUGAGUAAAUUUAGCCCAUCCAGACAUGUGGCCGAACAGCCCAGCCAAGCCAGGUGCGGCCCAUGCGACCAGGCCGGCCCAGCCAGCCAGCCAACCCAGGCGCGGCCCAGGCGACCAGGCGCGCGGCCAAACGCCAGGCGAGGCCAAGCGACCCAGGCGGCAGGCGUGGCCCAGACGGCCAGGCGCGCGACCAUAUAAAAGUGGUGGGGCGGUUUUAUGGUUUGGAACCCUAACCACCUGCUCCACAGCCGUCGCCGUCGCCUGGAAAAAUGGUCAUCGCACCGCCAUCCUGUCCGGUUCUUGCGCCGCGUCCGAGAAGCUUGCACAAAGGUCGGCUACACCUUGUCCAUGUCGGGAACAGGCCAAGCCCGGCCACGGCGCUAGACGCGGGAGCGGCCGCCUAGCCUCGACGAUUCAGGCGCAGCGGCAAUGGCGGCGCAGGCGCGUGGUCCAUUUUGUGGCCGCGGCCAUGCCGGCCCCUGCGCGGGCAACAGCCCGACAGUGCGCGGCACAGAUCGGUGCGCGCGGCAACGGCCUGAUGGCGCUCGGCACGGAUCGGUGCACGCGGCAACGGCCUGACGGCGCUCGGCACGGAGCCCCUUGCGCGGGCGCGGCCCUCCACGAUGCGCGGGCACGGCGGCCCCCGGCCCCGCGGCGGCACGGGCAAGCGGCCCUAGUGUGCGUGGGCGCGACGGCCUUCGGCGCACGGCUGCGCAGGCACAGCCCCGGCCAUGCGGGCGCGGAGGCCUUCGUCGCACGGCCGCGCAGGCACAGCCCCAGCCAUGCGGGCGUGGAGGCCAGCCCCCGGCAUAUCGCGGGCGAGGCCCCAGCAGCCGCCCCAUGCGCGAUGAUGAAUUUUGUAUGAUUUUCAGCAUUGGAAACAUACCUUUUAGAGCCAAUUGCUAAUGCCAUGGCGCUUGAUGGCACUGCCAUGCAUGCUGGUACGUAGGCAGCAUGGAGAUUAGUUUCUGAGCGGGUCGUCGUAGCAGUUCCAUCAUCCGCCGUAACGCCAGUACGCAUUGAUUCUGGCCAUCUGUAUCACCGAUGUGUACAACGCCGCCUCCCACAGAUAGAACCGCACAUCGCCGAUAGAAAACACUCGCUUCUUUUUCUCAGUUCUCGCGAGCAGUGCUGAUAACGUGUUGAAGUAUACUCAGUAGUAACAAGAUUGAGAGAGAGACAAAUGACAGUUCUAUCUUUAUUGCAGCAGGGGUUAUGUUUAUAUACAUAUGAAGGGGUGAGUUCACAAGGGGUGUGUCCCUUGGGAAUUAUCUGUCGCACCCCUUGGAUUGAUCACAAAUACAAUAAUUUGUAACAGCCAAGAUGCCUUCCAAUGAUCUCAAUAAAAAAUUGUGGGGCACUACAAAUUUCGCCUGCGUGCUUCUAUGUCCCAGAUUUAUUGAGACAUGUAGCCACUCGAUUUGCCAAUGCUUUUCACUUCUGCUUUUCUCACGAAUACAAGCAUAAGGCCUUGUUCGUUUACAUCGGAUUGCACCCGGAAUCAUUCCGGCUAAUCAAAGUUUAUAUAAAUUAAAGAAGCAAUCCGGCUCGGAUUCGUUCCGACCCAUCAAUCCGACACAAACGAACAAGGCCUAAGGAUGCUUUGAGCCAACUUUUUUUAAGUGGUGAUUGGUCAAGUCCAAAUUGGCUUCCAUAGAGGCGAAGAUGAAAAUCUGUGAGAUUUUGCUUUCUAUACGAUUCUGAC
rnacentral:lncRNA from 1 species